rnacentral:rRNA from 1 species
UACAGAGGGUGCGAGCGUUAAUCGGAGUUACUGGGCGUAAAGGGCGCGUAGGCGGUUAGAUAAGUGAGAUGUGAAAUCCCCGGGCUUAACCCGGGAACUGCAUUUCAAACUAUUUAGCUGGAGUACUGUAGAGGGUAGUGGAAUUUCCGGUGUAGCGGUGAAAUGCGUAGAGAUCGGAAGGAACACCAGUGGCGAAGGCGGCUACCUGGACAGAUACUGACGCUGAGGCGCGAAAGCGUGGGGAGCAAACAGG